ACAUGGCUUCAGUCCCAUUCCAUAGCUUCAGUUAAUCGUUUUGUUGUACGUGAAGUGUUUGACGAAAUACCUCAAAAGCAUGAGCGAGAAAUAGGUCAUGAUAAUGUCAGAUCUGAAAACGUGUUGAUAUGAAACAUUUCUUAGAAGUUGAUUUACCGAGUAUAUAGAUCUGAUGCCACUCAUUGUGCCAUUGUUACUGAACCUGUGUUGUUUAUUGUGUUCUGUGUUCUGAUCUGACCUUCUGUGCAAAAUGACGUUAGAUGAGCGGGUUGCUGUGGUUGUCUGUGUUCGAAGUCUUCAUAUAGGUUGAAGAUGGUUCGAUUAUCUUUCCAAUGAUCUAUAAAACGCCCUAAUCGGACUUCAUUUAAUAUGGUUUUUGCCUGUCCAAAGUUAGGUCCAGAAUCUGCCAAAUAUUUGUUUCUCUGUUUCGGAUGACCUUCUGUGCAAAAUGAAUUGAUAUGAGCUGGUUGUUGUGGUUUUCUGUGCUUGAUGUCUUCAUGAAAGUCAAAGAUGGUUUGAUUAUCUUUCUAACGAGCUAUAAUACGUCCUGAUCCGAUAUCAUUAGCCACAUGAAAUCUUCUUUAAAAGUCUACUCCAGAAUCUGGAAAGUUGUUCUGGUCUGUGUGGUUAUUUCUGUUACUGAUCUGACCUCUUUGCUAAAUGUCUUCGUUUGAGCUAGAAAAUGAUUUUAAUUGUGUUCAUGACCUUCUAAGGAUUCAUAGGAGACUUCUCAAGCUUUCUAAUGACAUAUUAUAUGUGCGAUUUGGUCAUCAUUUGCACUGCCUGAUGCUUCUUGCAAAGAGCACUAAUCUGUUGAUGUGUUCUGCUUGUUAUGAUCUGAUCUGACCACUUAUACAAAUGGCUUUACUUGAGCUAGGAAAAGACCUAAAUUGCAAUUGUCACCUAAUAGGAAUUCGUAAAGGACACCUUGAGCUUUCUAACGAUGCCUAGUUUGUCCAGUUUGCCCAUCAUUUGCCCUGUUUUUUUUUUCUUUUCUUUAGAUCAAGUUUUGAAGUCUGAAUUUGUCUUGACCUGCAGUGCUGUCUUGUCUCUAUGAAUCUGACUGUCUACCAAUUUUGUGUGAUCUUAUACAUAAUGAUCUUGAGGAUAAAUUCUCAAUGAAAGCUGUCCAUAAUAUCCAUAUCCAUCCCACGCUAAAAUUUGAGAAUUUUUAAAGUCAAGUAAUUUUAGAAUUCAAGUUGACAUGCAACAAUUUAAAUUGUCAUGCAUUUUGCUCCUAAUGACAAGUCACAUAUCAAUGUUAGUGAAUUUGUGUGGCCUUUUGCAUAUGGAUUUAGGGUUAAAUGUCUAAAUCAAACAUUUUCUUCACAGUUAACCCUACGUUAUGUUCAAAUUUCAUGAUUUUCAUGCAUUGAUUAGGUGGCUUAACAAAUCAGUUAUCAUACAUCAUUCUCUGAUUUGCUUAUGAUUGAUUUGCAUGCUUUAGCGAUUGUUGCUUUUCGACCAUAAAUUUGACUUUACUUGAAUUUGAUACGCCUCAAGAAAUUCCAUUCAUGAAAAUUGCUCUUUAUAAAGUGCUUGAUUUCUGUGCCUUUUUCUUAGAGCCAAUCGUACAUGGGUUCUACCAAUUGCUUUGAUCUUAAUAAUGAUGAUUGUUUCUUUCACUUGUAUGCACCUAGUCAUAAAUUUCUUAGAUUAGGUUUAGAUUAGGACCUUGAAGAUGGAGAAGGCGUGACGAUGGUGGAGGUCGAUGUCCAUUCCGACCAUUUUGAUGUAAUACCCAUUUUCCCGACAUAUGUCUCGGGUUCCAUGCAUUGUAUAAAACCCAACGAGUUGCGGGUUUUCUUUUUUUCUUUUUUUAAUUGUUUUCUCUUUUAUAUUUUUUAGGAUUGCCUGAUAGAUUUACUGUUUUUCCUUGAUUGCUUACUUAAUGUUUUGCAAUUUCAAUUUCAUUGGUUGUUUUCCUUUCUAUUUUUUUAGAAAUAGAAUAGCAUGAAAAUGAUCAACCACGCACGAUCACUUAGUCUGGGAAUUGAUGAUCCCGAAAAUGUAAAAAGAAAUGCAUGGACAUGUUAGGAAAAACACGACAUACUGUUUAGGUACCGAAAGGGUGCUAAUAGCAAAAUUAGUGUAACUCAAGUCCCCGAACCUAGAUAUAUGGUUGCGUAGGAAUCGAGGGAACACUCCCGACCCUCGAUUGGGUUUCUAGCCAACCCCCAAAGUUGAGGCUAGUGGCGACUCCUGUAUAUUUUUUAGGUUGUUAUAAACAACUAGAUCGCAUAAAUAAACCUACUGUCACGCGGGGUACGAGCUUGGGAGAGCUCGUGAUCUCGAGAUCAAGUACCCCUAAACCCGACCUUUCCCAUCCUUGGAUACCAUUUCGAGGGGGCGGUGAGAUCGGGUCGCGACAGGCUUGGCGACUCCGCUGGGGACUGGUUACUAGGUUAAGAGGACUUGAAGCCGUUUAAAAAUGGUUGUUGUGUUUUAACUAACAUGUCUUAUGUAGGAUCGCCUGCAUGUCAAAGUCGCGUGGAAAAUCAGGUUAGUCACUAACCUCGUGUUAAAUGGUUUUGUAGGUGGGAGUUAUAAGGGGAGGCGUGCUUGUAAACCAUUUGUUUUGCAGGUGGUGUAAGGAUGAAUGAAUGUAUGUGGGUUUAUAUUGAAGUGCUGGAUGUUUAAAUUUAAAUACAUGUUUACCAGCUUUAGCACGACACCGCACACACAACCGUGGUCUAAAACCCCGAUCGCCCAAUUUAGGACCUUAGGAGGGUUUAUGGUUGGAAUCUGCGAGUGGAUGCUCGUGGUAAUCCAUUACUUACAUAAACCCGCUCAUCCCAACCGAUAAAAAAUAGCACUGACCGACGAUAGUAGCGGUGGGUAAAUUAUUUUUAUCCUUUGGGAUGAGGACCUUGAGCCUUUAGUACCCUUACCUUAGGCGUCAAAACCUCACAGUUUCAUGCGACAUGUGACUUGUGUUUGCCAUGUGUUUUGUGGGUAAGUGAUCGUUCCUUUUUUAUCGUCCUUAUCUUUUUACUUUCCAUAUUUCAAUUAUGCAAUUUUAUAUUUCAACGACGAUAUGUUUAAUCAUGUAUGCCCCUUUAGGUUUAGAUUAGAUGGGUAGACUUGAAGUGGACGUGAUCCAUGUGCCUGGAAUCUCAAGACUAUAUGGGAGAAUCUCGACUCAAGACAUCAAGAUUACGUGGAAAGAUUCCCGAGUCUCAAGGAUUUCGGCGAGCUCAUAUUACCAAACAAGAAGACGAUGCCUUGAUCGAUGAGGACCGAUUGGCCCAUGAUAACAAGCGUCUCCACACGAUCCCACCUAGUUCUUAGGUUUCAAAUUCAUAUUUCUUUUCUUGUAAAGGGAAUUCAUUUGUGUUUCCCUCUUUUCUAUCAAGGUUCCCCUGUAUUCAUUUUCAUAUACCUUGUAAAAUCAAACUACUUUGUAAGCUUCAAGAAAGCAAGAUUAUGUUUCCCUUGUAAUUGUUCGAUGAAAUGAAUAACAUUCUUGAACAUUUUCAUGUAAUUUUUAGAAAAGGGGCAUUAUGAUUAAAUAUUUGUCGUCGUUCCUUUUCAAUUGUAUAAUUUCUUUUGAAGAAAUUUUGAUAAGAUGAGGUUAUAUGAUACUGGGAUCAUAUACACUUCUUAUCAUUAUUUCAUCUCAAGAAAAUAUAGAAUUGACUAGGAUUUGCACUUUAAUGAUCUUUUUUAACUUGUACUAAUUCGAGUCAUUUUCUUUUACAGGAGGUUUUGAAAAACGGCUGAAGAAAGAUUUGUUAUACGAACUCGCCGCCAAGCAAAGAUGGAAAACGAAGAUACACGAGCCCGUGUCAUUAAUAUGGAGAAUCAAAUGGCACAAAUGAUGACGUUAUUGGCAAAUCUCUCCAGCCAAGUCAAAAGCUUGACAUCUACUUCUUCUACCAUGAAUAUUCCUACCACGCCCCCUGAAGUGCCGGUAGUAGAGCCUGUGGCAAAAAGGCCUGUAGAAGAGAUCCCCACUGCAAUCCCGAUAGUUAUCGGUACAGAGCCUCCAUCUAAAGAGAUUUCAACUUCACACUUUGAUGAAGAAAAUGCAAGGCGCCUCGCCAAGAUCGAAGAACGUCUUUGCAUGCUGCAAGGCUAUCAGUUGCAGGGGUUUGAUAAACUGUCGCCCUUUGCCAAAAUUACGGUCCCUGAAUUUUAUAAGGAGCCGGAGUUCACAAGGAAAUACGACGGCAUCGGAUGUCCGAAGACUCAUUUGAAGUACUAUUUGGGCAAGAUGGCUCGUUAUUCAGAUAAUCCCCCACUUCUGAUCAAUUCUUUUCAGGACAGCCUAGUUGGUCCUGCGUUAACCUGGUUCAUAGAGUUGGACAUGGAGAAAAUCCGUACUUGGGAAGAUCUUGUUGAUGAAUUCCUUCAGCAAUACAAAUUCAAUACUGAAAUUGCUCCGACUCAAGAAGAAUUAAUUAGGGUCGAGAAAAGAAGAACUGAAUCAUUUAGGGCCUACGCUCAAAGAUGGAGGGUCAUUGCAUCUCAAGUAAAACCGCCGUUGUCUGAGAAAGAGACCAUGAAAUUGCUGCUUCAGGCUAUGCCCCGUGAUCUUUUUGAGAAGAUGUACAACCAUACUUGUAUGAACUUUGCUACAUUUGUAGAGUUGGGAGAACGCAUCAAGGGGAUCAUGCGGGAAGGAAGGUUGUCUGAGAGCACAAAUCGUCGAUAUACCCCGAAGAGGGAUAAGGAAUCAACUGUGGAGAUCGCCUAUGUACAAAAUUCCUCUUCUCAGAAGCCGUACAACCUUCAAGCUCAUAAACUUGCCAUGGAAGUAGGGGGUUCUUCUAGAAACUUGGAGCGCAAAGGAAAAGCCCCUCAAAGGCAAUUUACUCCAUUACCUAGACCCAUGUCACAAUUACUUCCAAUGCUAAUCGAAAAUCAUCUUGUGGCAAAAGAGAUCCCAAGGGAUAAUCCACCAAAGUUUGCCGGAUUCGACCUUAACAAGACAUGUGAGUAUCAUAUGGGUGAAAAAGGUCAUCAUGUGGACAACUGUUUGAUGCUUCGUUAUAAGAUCCAGGAUUUGCUGGAUAAAAAGCUGCUCACCUUUAAGGACUCGGGACCGAAUGUCCAACAAAAUCCUCUUCCAAAGCAUUCUGAAGAUGUCAACAUGGUCGGCGCUAUCGAUGGAAAUGAAGAACCCAUAGUUCCCAUUGUAUAAGGGAUGUUUCUAGUUCUUGCAUUUAAUUUUUAGUUGUAUUCGAUUCAUUUCUCCCCUACGAGGGAAUUUCAUUCAUUUCUCCCCUACGAGGGAAUUUCUGUCAUUUCAUUCGUUUGUACUUGUAAUAAUCUAGAUCAUAAACUUUCUGAUCCAAGAUGAUAUUCGUUGUAAUGCAAUUUUCGCAUAUCAAUAAAAUUCAUGUUUUGUUAAUAGACGUGUGAGGCCGAAACCAGUCCUAUGAUGAUGCUUUGAGGCCUGAGCCUCCACACGAUCUAUAAUUUCAAAAUGUUUUAGUGGAACGAUGACGUCCAAUGACAUGAGGGCUAGUUCCCAAUAAAUUUUUCAAAAAACAACUUGAAUUUGAAAACAAAUUUUUCAUGUCAUUUACAUACAUUGCAUUCAUUUAGAUGUACAUAUACUAACCAUUUUUCGAUUGCAUCUCAAGCAUGGCAUUUCACAUCAUGAUAGUCAUUUUCAUGGCUCAGAUUCGCAUUCAACAAAUUUUGAUGAACCUGAUUAUUCCGACUCAAAGAAUGAAGAUGAUCCUCGAGGUAUUGAAAAAGAAUGGCUCAGACAUGAAGAGUCCAAACCUCUUAUCACCAAACAGCCAGUCACUCUAAAUUUAGGAGAUUCAGAUAACCCUAAAGAAACUAAGAUUGGGGCAGGUCUCUCUCAAGCGGAUGCCAAUGGGUUAAUUGGGCUCUUGAAAGAAAUAUACGAAGGAGAGUGUGGCACUCAUAUGAACGGUCAUCUCUUGGCUAGAAAAAUCAUGAGGCUCGGUUACUAUUGGUUGAUCAUGGAAGCUGAUUGUAUUUAGCAUGUGAGGUUCUGUCAUCAAUGCCGAGUCUAUGGAGACAAAAUCAAUGCUCCUCCUAAUGAGCUACAUCAAAUGUCCGAGUCUUGGCCUUUUUCAAUGUGGGGCAUCGACAUCAUCGGACCGAUUAAUCCUAAAGCAUGGAAUGGACAUUGUUUUAUCUUGGUAGCCAUUGAUUACUUCACCAAAUGGAUUGAAGCCAAUUCUUAUGCCCAUGUUACUGCAAAGAGUGUGGCAAAAUUCAUCUGUUGUGAUAUCAUUGCUCGAUAUGGAGUUCCUAAAGCGAUCAUCACAGAUAAUGGAUCAAACUUGAACAAUAAAGUGGUGGAUGAUUUACUUGGAGAAUUCCACAUUCACCAUUUGAAUUCUUCUCCUUACCGCCCACAAAUGAAUGGAGCUGUGGAAGCGGCAAAUAAGAACAUCAAGAAGAUUUUAGCCAAAACGGCGGAAAAGUAUCGUGAUUGGCAUGAUCGGUUGCCAUAUGCUUUGUUUGCUUAUCUAACUUCAAUUCGUACUUCGAUUGGGGCAACACCGUUCUCAUUGGUUUAUGGGAUGGAAGCUGUACUACCCGUGGAAGUGGAAAUUCCUUCACUGAGGGUACUUUCUCAAAUCAAGCUCUCUGAAGCUGAAUGGGUUCAACAAAGAUUUGAACAACUUAAUAUGAUUGAUGAAAAGAGGGUAAAAGCCUUAUGCCAUGGACAAAGCUAUCAGAAGAGAGUAGCUAGGUCAUUUAAUCGCAAAGUUAGACCAAGACAGUUUGAGAUCAACGAUCUUGUCUUGAGGAAGGUUUUACCUAUCAUUCCAGAUCCUCGUGGGAAGUUUACUCCAAAUUAUGAAGGUCCAUAUAUUGUAAAGAAAGUGCUACCCGGUGGGGCACUAAUUCUUGUAGAAAUGGAUGGUCAUGAAUUGCCAAGACUUGUAAAUGCUGAUUCUGUCAAGAAGUAUUAUCCAUGAAUAAAGUGAAAGGCCUUUGAGCCAUCUUUGGAUUGAAUCUGAGCCAUUUUAGGAUGUUUACAUCAUGCAUUGCAUGCAUACAUAUUGCAUUUGCAUGUUUGUUCAUUUUGCAGGAUCUCUGACGAAGAUUCUACCUAUCCGCAGGAGGUUCAUCUCAAGAGUGCAAAACUUUCAAAAGUGUCCAUUCUUUAAUAGAACUUAGAAGUGACCUUACCCUUUAGAAUGCCAAAAGAAUCGAUUAGAACUCCAGAAGUAUAGUUAGAACUUUAGGAAUGAACCCAUGUGCUAAGCAAAGCCUGUUCUGUCUACAAAUUUUUUAUCAAACCUUACUUUCAAAAAUCUCCCCAAUAGGGUCAAGGAAACAUGUCCUUUCAGACAAAAUUUCAUUAUAUUUUCAUUUCCUCAAGGAGUUGAAUUUAACCAAAAUGUGCUUUGGAAAACCUGAAAAAGGAUUGUUAAAUAUGGCAGGUGGUAGUGCCUAAAAUGAUGAGAGGCAACCCCUUUACCAAACACGUCCUCAUACACUCUUUGAGUGAAUUGAGUGGAAAGAACCAUGUCUUAAGGCAUAGGAUUCAUUCACGGUGAAUACAUGAUUUGAAAUGAUUAAGGCAUUUCAUUUCCCGAUCCCAAACACUAUUGAUAUCCCUUGCAAGCCACUUUGAGCCAAAUAGGGAGCAUUUCCAAAAUAACCCUGUCAAGAACAACCCCACAUUGGGGCAAAAUAAGGGGUCUUGGUUGAAAAUUACGGAGCAAAAGAUUAAGAAAGAUUUUAUUGCUUUCACUUGUAUCAAUCUUCUUGUGCUAGCUUCAGGUGAUUUCUUAUCGAGACUCGAAGCAUCCCAAAGUGACGAAGAGCAUUCUGUUCACUACCCCAAAAACAAUUAUCCUUUGCUUAGCCAAUUUGAGCCAUAUGCAAUUCUUUCAUUAUCCCAGGUGAUGAUUAUCUCCCCACACUGGGGCAAGGCACAUGAUUUACCAACAAAAUUGAGAAUAUUGGUAACAUUUGUAAAUGCCACUCGAGAGUCCUAGAUGCUCAAAAAGAGAAUGAAAACUAGGGGCAUGAAAAAGCAGUGUGCCUGGUAAAAGCAAGGCCAAUGCCCAUGAAAAAAUGCAAAGAAAAGCAAGAAUGUAAAAAAAAGAAAAAAGAGCGAAAUCCAUGAUCAUGCAAAAGAGCAUUCAUUGAAAAACAAAAGAAAUAUCUUGCAAGAAAAAACAUGUAUUGCAAGCAAUAUCAUUAGAACAGAGAGCAAAGCUCUCAUGUCUCAAGACAAAUUACCCAAAGGACUCUCGAGAUAGGUUAAAUUUCAAGAGUCAAAUUUUUGAGAAGUCAUGUGAUGGUAAUGAUGCCAAGAUAAUCACUCACUUUUUAACCUUUUGAUAUCUGAAAGUUUUUCAAGCAUUUCUAAGCCUUACCCGAAUCAACAUUACAACCCUUAUCCGAAGUCUCUUCCGAUUGGGAUGGUUCGAGUUGAAAUGAGAAUAUCACAUUGGAGCUACCGCUAGAAGGAGUGGAAGCAAUCCUAUCUUAUCUUAUCUUUAAGGUUCUUGACUUGUAAACCCAAUGAAGAUAUUGAUUGAAUAUUCAUUUCUUGGCCAUAAAGUGCAUACCCUUUGUGUAAGCCCAUGACCAAGCUAUCAUUACGGUCCAUUUAAAAGACCUUUUGAUCAAUGGAUUGUAUUCACUGUGAACGUUUCCGAAAGCCAUAGACAUAGGCUGAGUGAGACUUCUCUAGUGAGGAUUAAACAGUUUUCCCAUAUCAAUGGUUGGGAACAAAAGCCCUUUUUGAGAGUCAGUGUGAAAGACCUUUUUUGAUUAGGAUAUUUCCACUUGGCAUAUUUGACUUAACCCUUAGAUGGUUAAUCAAAUCUCAUUUUGUUAAAAUCCCCUCUGAAAGGAUUUGAUAAUUGGCGCUAUUUUGCAAGAUUGUCUCUCAAGUAAUCUUGAAACUCUUUUUCAAAAUAUUUGUUCCUUAGUGAACCGGUUCUUGGUCAUCCUAAACCAUAUCAUUGUCUCUUAAGUUCUAGGUUAUCUUAAAACCUUGUCCCCAAGUUCUAGGUUCUCUUAAAACCUUGUCUCUUAAGUUCUAGGUUAUCUUAAAACCUUGUCUUUUAGGUUCGUGGGUCUAUCCUUAAACCACUAGGUUCGUGGGUCCAUCCUUAAACCACACUAGGUUCAUGGGUACAUCCGUAAGACCCUUUUCCCAGUCGAAACCCGUUUUUACACGGUGGGACUAUCGCAUCCAGUCGAAACCCGUUUUUACACGGUGAGACUAUCGCAUCUAGUCGAAACCCGUUUUUACACGGUGAGACUUUUCUCUUAGUCGAAACCCGUUUUUACACGGUGAGACAUCACAUCCAGUCGAAACCCGUUUUUACACGGUGAGACAUCACAUCUAGUCGAAACCCGUUUUUACACGGUGAGACUUUUCUCCUAGUCGAAACCCGUUUUUACACGGUGAGACAUCACAUCCAGUCGAAACCUGUUUUUACACGGUGAGACAUCGCAUCCAGUCGAAACCUGUUUUUACACGGUGAGACAUCACAUCCAGUGAUACAACUCCCCCAGUCGAAAUCCGUUUUUACACGGUGAGACUUUUUCUCCCGGUCGAAGCCCGUUUUUACACGGUGAGACCUUUCUCCCAAUUUAAACCAUACAAUUCGUAGGUUAUCCUUAAACCAUUCCUUUUCCAUUUAGUGAUUUCAAUGUCUUCAUUCCAUUCCACAAGAGAGAGAAACAGAAAUAGAGCAAAUAAACCCCAACAAGAGUUCAGAUACCUUGAUGAGCAAAGGUAAGUAUCAGGUACGUCCCUAACCAACCAUCAUUGCUUUUGUCAUUUUCUAUUUUUCAAAGUUGGGUCGACUAAAAAUUGCAGGUAUCAAUUUUGUCUUUGAGUGGAACCUCUUCGAACUCCCACCCAAAGAGCGGCAGCUGUUGACACCUGAAAUUUUUUGUUAACAUUUUAAUCAUCCAUUUUGCAAAAAUAUAGAAAAAUAAAGAGCCAAAAAAAAAAAGAAAAAAAAAAGAGAGAAGAAAACAAAAAGAAAAAAAAACGACAAAACAAAACAAGAAGAAAAAAAAUGAAGUGAAAUGAAAAGAAAAAAAAAGAGAGAAAGAAAUAAGGAAAACGAAAAAAGAAAAAUAAAGGAGAGAAAAAGAAAAAUAAAAGAAAAAAAAUAGAAAAGAAAAAAAAGAGGCCAUUCACGGGGGUUUUUUCUUUUUUUUCGGGCUCUCUUUCUCUCCUCUCGGGGGACUCUCGGUGAACUCUCUCUCUCUCUCUCUCUCUUUGGGGGGGCUCUCUGAUAAUCACGAAGGAACUCUCUCCGGGGGAGCUCUCUCUCGAUCAAGUGUUCUCUCUCUCUACGGUUCAAUGGGCUAGGGUUUUCACUCCAGGGGAGGGAUGGAAGAUCGGGGUUUGGCGGGUUGUAGCGUUUUCUCUCUGGUGGAGGGGGACGCUCGCACUCUCUCUGGAAAGGGGGAUUCUCUCUUCCGCUCUGGGUAACUGCUCGAUUGAGCUCUUCGAUGGCGGAUUGAAGAAAACCCUAGCCUCGGUCGAGGACGGGGCUCGGGACAUCUCUCCCUCUUCUCAGCAAUCUGGUCCUCAAUCGAUCGUCGUUUCGAGUUUCCAUUCUUCGCGCAGAAACCGAACUCGCGGUCGAUCUCGCACGUUCGGUGAUGUUCCUGGCUUCGAAGAUGAAGAGCUUGAAGCGGUUGUUGACCUCGCCAUGCUGAUCCUCUUCGCGCUCAGCAUAUUCCCAUCCCCGAUCGGUGACAGGCGCAACAAAAUCUCCUCCGCCGGUCAGUACAGCCGUGGCUGUAACGGAACAGACGAACGCUCAUCACUACCAAUCAGGACAAUCAGUGGAUCCAUCCGUUGCCAGAACUUAACUUCUCCAAAUCUGAUAAUCUCCGACGAUCCGAAGGUGUUGUAGUGGUCUGGCAUGUGCUUGAUCUCACUCGAAUCGCUCAAAAGAGUCAGAAAAUCCAGCUUCCCUAAGAUACAACGAAUCCAGUUUCUGUUCGAACUUAUCAUCGCUGGUUCCAACCUCGUUCUUGGACGAUCAUAAAACUCUUAUUCUUCGUCUGGAACUCUUGUUGCAGUAUCCGUAUCACUGAUAAACCAGGUAAACUCAUUCCCCUCUCUCCUGCUCUGUUGCAAUGAAAUGUGUAGAAGAAUCAUGUUCACGUAGUUCGAGUGUAAUUCACUUAAGAUCUGAGCUGUAACUAGAUGACUUGUGAUGGUUCUGUGAUUUUAAUAUUGAUUUUAGAAUGUUAGAUGAAAACAUGGCUUCAGUCCCAUUCCAUAGCUUCAGUUAAUCGUUUUGUUGUACGUGAAGUGUUUGACGAAAUACCUCAAAAGCAUGAGCGAGAAAUAGGUCAUGAUAAUGUCAGAUCUGAAAACGUGUUGAUAUGAAACAUUUCUUAGAAGUUGAUUUACCGAGUAUAUAGAUCUGAUGCCACUCAUUGUGCCAUUGUUACUGAACCUGUGUUGUUUAUUGUGUUCUGUGUUCUGAUCUGACCUUCUGUGCAAAAUGACGUUAGAUGAGCGGGUUGCUGUGGUUGUCUGUGUUCGAAGUCUUCAUAUAGGUUGAAGAUGGUUCGAUUAUCUUUCCAAUGAUCUAU
rnacentral:lncRNA from 1 species